rnacentral:rRNA from 1 species
GCGGAGGAAAAGAAAGCAACAGCGAUAGCCUCAGUAACGGCGAGUGAAGCGGCUACAGCUCAAAUUUGAAAUCUGGCCUCCUUUGGUGGUCCGAGUUGUAAUUUGCAGAGGAUGCUUUGGCAUUGGCGGCGGUCUAAGUUCCUUGGAACAGGACAUCGCAGAGGGUGAGAAUCCCGUACGUGGGCGCCUGCCUUUGCCGUGUAAAGCUCCUUCGACGAGUCGAGUUGUUUGGGAAUGCAGCUCUAAAUGGGAGGUAAAUUUCUCCUAAAGCUAAAUACCGGCCAGAGACCGAUAGCGCACAAGUAGAGUGAUCGAAAGAUGAAAAGUACUUUGGAAAGAGAGUCAAAUAGCACGUGAAAUUGUUGAAAGGGAAGCGCUUGCAGCCAGACUUGCCCGCAGUUGCUCACCUAGGCUUUUGCCUGGGGCACUCUUCUGCGGGCAGGCCAGCAUCAGUUUGGGCGGUCGGAUAAAGGUCUCUGUCAUGUACCACCCUUCGGGGUGGCCUUAUAGGGGAGACGCAAUGCGACCA